CAACUGUGAGGUGUUAACCACAUUGACUCCAGAUACAGGGAGGAUACUGUCCAAGCUGCAUGCUGUGCAGCCUCGAGGAAACAUUAGUUUCUGCACUGGUAUCAGGGUGGCACAUCUAGCACUGAAACACAGACAAGGCAAAAAUCACAAGAUGCGAAUUAUUGCAUUUGUUGGCAGCCCUGUAGAAGACACUGACAAAGAACUUGUCAAAAUGGCAAAGCGGCUGAAAAAAGAAAAGGUCAACGUGGAUGUCAUCAACUUUGGAGAAGAGGAGAUGAACACGGAGAAACUCACAGCCUUCAUCAACACGCUUAAUGGCAAAGAGGGGACUGGCUCCC